rnacentral:lncRNA from 1 species
CAGAUUUGUAGUGCACCCCUAAUUUGUUUGUCCUCUCAAAAGUAGGGGUCGCAGUUGGACUCAGCAUCGGUGUUAAAAACAUGUUUUAAACUGCAGCCUGCACUCAAGACAGAAAGCUAGCAGUCUUCUUCAUACUGUUACAUGAAGCAAGUUUAUCAAACAAACUUGCUACAUUUCUCCAGAUUGGAGAUCUGGGUGUGGGUUAGCCAAAGCUAACGUUACUCAGUCUGGAUGAUAGCAGAAGCAAACAUGAGAGUCCAGCAUGAACUCAUUUGAUUCAUUGGUAUCGGCCAGCCAAAAUCUUAAUAUCAGGUAGUUUUGCAAACGUUUGCUCGUCCGACAGCACUUCCCCCAUCAACAACAAACUAGUAAACCCUGCCUAGCCAAAGCUAGCUUAAUGAAAUGAAACGGACCCCAGCGGUUAUUAUCCGGAGGAUUGUUCCGAUCAUGUACGAAGACGUUAGCAGCGCAUUGUAGAUCUCUGCAAUAGAGAUCUUCUUCAGGAGUAGGAAUGGACGAGCAGAAAUCAAACUGCGAAGAAAAUGAUUCAGAAACUGCAGCUGAUGAUGGGACCUCUGCAAAGGAGAACAUCCAAUUUGAGGGGGAACUGAGUGCCCCUGUUGCUGCAGAGGACAUCUCAGGCACUACUGUGGACACUUCCAGCUCAUCAUUAGAGACUGUCGGGGCUUGUGCUCUGUGUAACUGUGUGGAGCGUAGUCUGCAUGGACAGCGGGAGCUCCGGUGUUUUGCACCCUCUUCCGAUCGGCCCAGAUUGGAGCCCUCUGUGUCCUCUUUGCCAGCAGCUGGAAAUGAUGACCUGUCUUCCAUUGGAUUCUCUGAAUCCACCUGUCUGGCAUCUCUCUUUGAUGACACGGGUAUGAUUAUGAAAUCAAACGGUGUGAAUCAUAGUGAUGUCACUGUCAUAUUUGGGUGUUGAGUGAGACACAUUAAGACACAGUAGUUUCUUCCCAAUUUGUCACAUUUCUCCAUGAAUGAGUGGAAUAACAUGGUUUCUGUUUACAUUAAGCAUUUCUAUUUGUAACUUUUUUGGAACAAUCCAGAGUUCAACCAGGUUGUUGUUAGAUAUAUGCCUGCCUUACUGAUUUUUUUCGCUUGCCCAACCACACAG